rfam:Asian citrus Psyllid, Diaphorina citri - Florida Strain, whole genome shotgun sequence.
GCUCCCAUGGCGUAGUGGUCACUGUGCUCGCGUUGCACGCGGGAGACCCGGGUUCGAUUCCCGGCGGGGUCA